rnacentral:lncRNA from 1 species
AGCAAUCACUACUCAAAGUCAGUGUUUAUUUUGGUGUUUCGGAUUUUAUAUAAAACAUUGGUGGUUUGCAUUCUCAAUCGGUUUGUGCAAGUCGUGUAGCAUCUAUAGAUCAAAAUUUGGUAUUGUCUGGAUAAUUGAGUGUGCUAAGUGUAUACAAAAAUUUGUGUUAAUCUAAUGAUGCAAUCAAGAGAUAUCUGGGUUUUAGUACAAAGGGUUGUCGGAAGUUGGUAGUCUAGGGUUGGAUAGGGUUUAUGUGAUAUCUGAAGAUCUACUAGUUGGAUCGACGUAAUUUUUGGCUUGGUAAUAGAAGAUUUGGAGAUCAAGCGGCUAUUCAAUUUUGAGCUGGAGUU